rnacentral:rRNA from 1 species
GUCUACGGCCAUGCCACCCUGAACAAGCCUGAUAUCUGAUCUUGGAAGCUAAACAGGGUUGGGCCUGGUUGGUUAGUACUUGGACGGGAGACCACAUAGGGAGACCAGGUGCUCUAGGCA